UGGGGAAUUUUGGACAAUGGGCGCAAGCCUGAUCCAGCAAUGCCGCGUGCAGGAUGAAGGCCUUCGGGUUGUAAACUGCUUUUGUACGGAACGAAACGGCUCUGUCUAAUACAUGGGGCUAAUGACGGUACCGUAAGAAUAAGCACCGGCUAACUACGUGCCAGCAGCCGCGGUAAUACGUAGGGUGCGAGCGUUAAUCGGAAUUACUGGGCGUAAAGCGUGCGCAGGCGGUUAUAUAAGACAGAUGUGAAAUCCCCGGGCUCAACCUGGGAACUGCAUUUGUGACUGUAGAGCUGGAGUACGGCAGAGGGGGAAGGAAGUCCGCGUGUAGCAGUGAAAUGCGUAGAUAUGCGGAGGAACACCGAUGGCGAAGGCAAUCCCCUGGGCCUGUACUGACGCUCAUGCACGAAAGCGUGGGAAGCAAGCA
rnacentral:rRNA from 1 species